UACGGAGGAUGCGAGCGUUAUCCGGAUUUAUUGGGUUUAAAGGGUGCGUAGGCGGAUCGUUAAGUCAGUGGUCAAAUUGAGGGGCUCAACCCCUUCCCGCCAUUGAAACUGGCGAUCUUGAGUGGAAGAGAAGUAUGCGGAAUGCGUGGUGUAGCGGUGAAAUGCAUAGAUAUCACGCAGAACCCCGAUUGCGAAGGCAGCAUGCCGGCUUCCGACUGACGCUGAAGCUCGAAAGCGUGGGGAGCAAACAGG
rnacentral:rRNA from 1 species